rnacentral:rRNA from 1 species
AUUGAACGCUGGCGGCAGGCCUAACACAUGCAAGUCGAGCGAGUGGCGGACGGGUGAGUAAUGUCUGGGGAUCUGCCUGAUAGAGGGGGAUAACUACUGGAAACGGUGGCUAAUACCGCAUACCAUCGGAUGAGCCCAUAUGGGAUUAGCUAGUUGGUGGGGUAACGGCUCACCAAGGCGACGAUCUCUAGCUGGUCUGAGAGGAUGACCAGCCACACUGGGACUGAGACACGGCCCAGACUCCUACGGGAGGCAGCAGUGGGGAAUAUUGCACAAUGGGGGCAAGCCUGAUGCAGCCAUGCCGCGUGUAUGAAGAAGGCCUUAGGGUUGUAAAGUACUUUCAGCGGGGAGGCGUUACCCACAGAAGAAGCACCGGCUAACUCCGUGCCAGCAGCCGCGGUAAUUC